AGGGUUUGAUUAUGGCUCAGGAUGAACGCUGGCGGCGUGCUUAACACAUGCAAGUCGAACGAGGAAUUUUAAAUGAGACUUCGGUGGAUUUUAAAAUUCUUAGUGGCGGACGGGUGAGUAACGCGUGGGCAACCUGCCCUGUACAGGGGGACAACAGCUGGAAACGGCUGCUAAUACCGCAUAAGCGCACAGCAUCGCAUGAUGCCGUGUGAAAAACUCCGGUGGUACAGGAUGGGCCCGCGUUGGAUUAGGUAGUUGGUGGGGUAACGGCCUACCAAGCCGACGAUCCAUAGCCGACCUGAGAGGGUGACCGGCCACAUUGGGACUGAGACACGGCCCAA
rnacentral:rRNA from 1 species